GGCUGGGGGCGGCCCCGGUGUUGUGGUGACACCUGCCGGGCGGGAGCGGCGCGGCGGCGGCAGCUGCGCUGGGCAGAGGGGCGGGUGCUCGCGUAGGGCUGGGCCCGGCGGGCACUUGCUUCGUACGGUACGCUGCUUCCCAUCUACGCUGCCACCGGGCAGAGUAAAGAAAGAGUAGAAAGCAGAGCAGAGAAGCUGGUUGUUGCCCUCUGGAAAGAGAAAAUGUCUGGAGAGUAUACUGAUGGGCCAAAGGCAGGAUGGCUGUGCCUACAAAACUAGUGAAGCAAAUGUCAUCUGUAUUGGUGCUGCAUGCAGUGACCUCCAAAGACCUAACAUGAGAAGGAAGGAAUUUAUACACAAAGAGAUCAAGACCCUUUCCCACCUAAGGCGCCUGAAGCUCACUCCUCCGCCCCGUGGAGGUGCCAGGGCCGAGCUGGCAAGGGAACCGUCUCUACGCUUCUUAAAACAAGCACUGCCGGCAGAGAGGAGGGCAAGGUUCACGUGGACGAAGAAAACAAACUAGAGGAGCCUGACUAAGUAAUGUCUAGCGACAGAGGAAAGCUGCUCUAAGCAUCUGUUUAAUAAAGCCGAAUCCCUGUGACAUAAAGAGCUGACCCAGCAUGAAUUCCCUUACUCUAAUUCAUUCAGAGCAUUUUGAAGGGCAGCUUUCUCUCCACUGGCUUUAUGUUGGAUCGCCUAUCGUGUCCUCUCUAGUCCAGAAUAAAAUAUAAAACGAGUAUAAACACUGCAUUAUAUCCCGUGGCAAAUUCAACAAAAAAUCAAUUGUGCACUCACACUGUUCUGCGCUGAAUUUGUACUGCUUCAUACUCUGGCAACACACGAAUCUGGAAGAAAGCAAAGUGGAAGUACAGACUGGAGUGUAUCAGGAAAAGAAUUCUUAAACUCACACGAGUGGUCAGGCGCUGGAACAGCCUGCCCAGGGAGGAGGUGGAGUCACCGUCCCUGG